rnacentral:rRNA from 1 species
AUUGAACGCUGGCGGCAUGCCUUACACAUGCAAGUCGAACGGCAGCACGGGAGCAAUCCUGGUGGCGAGUGGCGAACGGGUGAGUAAUAUAUCGGAACGUGCCCAGUCGUGGGGGAUAACGUAGCGAAAGCUACGCUAAUACCGCAUACGAUCUAUGGAUGAAAGCGGGGGAUCGCAAGACCUCGCGCGAUUGGAGCGGCCGAUAUCAGAUUAGGUAGUUGGUGAGGUAAAGGCUCACCAAGCCGACGAUCUGUAGCUGGUCUGAGAGGACGACCAGCCACACUGGGACUGAGACACGGCCCAGACUCCUACGGGAGGCAGCAGUGGGGAAUUUUUGGACAAUGGGCGGCAAGCCUGAUCCAGCAAUGCCGCGUGCAGGAUGAAGGCCUCGGUU